UGGAGCAGCAAAAUGGCUGUAAUACAGACAGUAAAUAAUGCAUACUAUUUAGAGAGUUUCUUAAUCAGGGCCAUGAAUAAUUGGCUUUGCUGGGCUUGGCUUUGUACACAAUUCAUUUGCAUCUGCUGAUUUUGCAACUGCAUCAUCUGCAUGAAGUCUUUAUGUCGCUUUUCUUCAUUUUCUUGCUUUUUAGUGUCAUUAUCUAAAUUUUUUUCUUUAUUUCCAGCUCCCUUUCCCGCAAUUGUCUCUCACUUUCCAUCCUCUCCCUUAAAUAAUGCACAGCCUCUGAUCCUUUACUCCUCUGCUUUACUUUCUUGUCAUCACCUACUGUGUCUGCUUUUCUUUUCUGUGUUUCCCUCAAAGUUUCCAUAGCCUUAAGUCUCAUAUCAUCCGUGUUUUCUUUGUCCACUUGUUCUUUUCGCUUCUUCUCACCUGUUCAUCAUUGUAUGAUUCUUCUAAUUCGAGAAUUUCCUCAAAGUGUGUCUAGCUCCGACAUUUCUGGGGAAAUUCCUGAGCCAUGUUCCUCUGCAGCUAUUUUUCUCUUAAACUUAUCCCUCAGUAGCUUGAAGCGGUCACGAACAGAGCGCUGUACAACCAAAAACUUUGGCUCUGCCAACUUGUUCAAAUUUUCAGCAAUUGUGUUCCACAAAUGUCCUCUUUGGCUUGUUCGUGACUUUGUCGUGUAAGGUUCCACCACAAGUAUAUCCCUACAUAGCAAAACAUCGUGAAGGUUCGUCCAUUCCAUCUAUAUAUAAAAACGUGUACAUAAAUUAGGUCGAAAGUAGUCGCCAAAGCGAAGUCAAAGAACGAACUGACCAGCGCCAUACGAGUGGAAACUUGCCUUGUAUAUAAGUGCCAAACAAAGGAAAUUUACGAAAGCAACAACGUUAAAGAUUACGCUGGCACGUCAAUGACAUAGUAAACAAAUAUAAACCAUAUUUACCUCUUAAAAUUAUCUUGAAGUUUCUUGAAAAUCCUCACUUUACACCUAUUGUUGUGAAGUUAUCAACGUGUAGUGGACGACGAGCAAUU